CAGCUGAAGGGAUGGCUAUCAAUACCUCAGUUGCUACACCCGCUAUCUGCAUUUCUUAAUUUGCUACUCUCUCUCUUUUUUUUCUUUUUUUUCUUUUUGCUUUUGAAAAAACCCUAAAUCAAAAUCCUCUAAGAAGAAAGAAGGGAAGAAGGAGGUUUUUGAUAAUGGUGGGAAAUACUGUAAGAAGGAAUGUGGUGGUUGUUGAAGCUAGUUUCUUUGUGGACUUCUCUUUCUU
rnacentral:lncRNA from 1 species